CACAAUCACAUACAAUCGCAUCCAUGUGUCGCUCUGCCGCGCUGCUGCCUCCUUGACUCGCUCUGCCGCGCGGCCGUCAGAUCUACACUACGGCAAGCCGGUGGCCCUCACCUCCGCCGCAGACCGCACCUUGCUGCGGAAGUGGAGAGCGCCAUGCAGGCCCUCGAGGCCCUGGGAGGCGUUCUUGAUCCGAAUUUGAUUGAGACCAGGGACAAGUUCAAGUUUGAUUGAAGGUUGCUGGCAGCUCAUCUUCACUACGAGACCGGGGACAACAUCCCCCUAUUCAGAUGACUUUUGUUGGAGUUGACUCUUUCAGGAUCUUCCAGGAAGUUUACCUCCGGACAGAUGAUCCAAGGGUGGUUAACGUUGUAAGGUUUUCAGAGUCAGUCGGUGAUCUGAAAGUAGAGAAGGACAAUAGUUCGAGGGGUUCGAGGAGCAAGCUUUUGAAGAGUACGAGCAGCAGGAGCAAGUGCAAGAAGGCAAGUCGUGUCCUUGAUCACAUCUAUGAGUCCCAUUACACCUUUACUUUCAUAUUCAACACAAUGUUCUCUUUGCACUUUGUAAUAUAAUCAUGAUGGGUCCCAAUUAAGGUUUUCGUAGAUUUCAUUCUAUACACCUUGAUCAACCGGGUUUACUUUUAUGCUGGGUAGUUCAUGCUUAUUGCUUUACUUGGGUUAUGGUGGUUUUAAUGAACUCAAUGAUUAAACUUGUUUUAUUUAUGCUAUACCUUUCAAUAAUACAAGAUCACAAUGCUUAAUUGGAACAUGGAGCGACCACCCAGGAAAACAGUGCAACCACAAGGACUAUAAUGGCUCUGGUCUUGGCUAAUUAAUUAGGAAUUUUGGUUAGUGGUAGCUUUACCUAAAAAGGGCCAGAGGGAGAGACAUUAGUUGGUGUAUAAACCGGUCCU